rnacentral:rRNA from 1 species
GAUGAACGCUGGCGGCGUGCUUAACACAUGCAAGUCGAACGGUGAAGGCGGAUCUGGCUCUUCUUGAUCAGUGGCGAACGGGUGAGUAACACGUGAGCAAUCUGCCCCUGACUCUGGGAUAAGCGCUGGAAACGGCGUCUAAUACUGGAUACGAUCUGCCAACGCAUCUUCAGCAGGUGGAAAUAAUUUCGGGCAGGGCUGAUCUCGCGGCCUAUCCGCUUGUUGGUGAGGUAAUGGUUCACCAAGGGGUCGACGGGUAGCCGGCCUGAGAGGGUGACCGGCCCAACGGGGACUGAGAACCGGCCCAGCCCCCUCCGGGAGGAAGCAGUGGGGAAUAUUGAACAAUGGGCGAAAGCCUGAUGCAGCAACGCCGCGUGAGGGACGACGGCUUUCGGGUUGUAACCCUCUUUUAGCAGGGAAGAAGCGAAAGUGACGGUACCUGCAGAAAAAGCGCCGGCUAACUACGUG